rnacentral:rRNA from 1 species
AGAGUUUGAUCCUGGCUCAGAGCGAACGCUGGCGGCAGGCUUAACACAUGCAAGUCGAGCGGACCUUUCGGGGUCAGCGGCGGACGGGUGAGUAACGCGUGGGAACGUGCCUUCCGGUUCGGAAUAACCCUGGGAAACUAGGGCUAAUACCGGAUACGCCCUUAUGGGGAAAGGUUUACUGCCGGAAGAUCGGCCCGCGUCUGAUUAGCUAGUUGGUGGGGUAACGGCCUACCAAGGCGACGAUCAGUAGCUGGUCUGAGAGGAUGAUCAGCCACACUGGGACUGAGACACGGCCCAGACUCCUACGGGAGGCAGCAGUGGGGAAUAUUGGACAAUGGGCGCAAGCCUGAUCCAGCCAUGCCGCGUGAGUGAUGAAGGCCUUAGGGUUGUAAAGCUCUUUUAUCCGGGACGAUAAUGACGGUACCGGAGGAAUAAGCCCCGGCUAACUUCGUGCCAGCAGCCGCGGUAAUACGAAGGGGGCUAGCGUUGCUCGGAAUCACUGGGCGUAAAGGGCGCGUAGGCGGCGUUUUAAGUCGGGGGUGAAAGCCUGUGGCUCAACCACAGAAUGGCCUUCGAUACUGGGACGCUUGAGUAUGGUAGAGGUUGGUGGAACUGCGAGUGUAGAGGUGAAAUUCGUAGAUAUUCGCAAGAACACCGGUGGCGAAGGCGGCCAACUGGACCAUUACUGACGCUGA